rnacentral:piRNA from 1 species
CAGAAUCCUGAGGGGUAAGCAGAUGG